GACGUAGGGCGCGAGCGUUGUCCGGAUUUAUUGGGCGUAAAGAGCUCGUAGGCGGCUUGUCGCGUCGUCCGUGUAAACCCGGGGCUCAACUCCGGGCUUGCGGGCGAUACGGGCAGGCUAGAGUUCGGUAGGGGAGACUGGAAUUCCUGGUGUAGCGGUGAAAUGCGCAGAUAUCAGGAGGAACACCGGUGGCGAAGGCGGGUCUCUGGGCCGUAACUGACGCUGAGGAGCGAAAGCGUGGGGAGCGAACAGG
rnacentral:rRNA from 1 species